CACGAGAUGCUUUUUUCCUCUCCGGGGCGAAAAGACAAAACCGUUAGGCCGCCACCCACGUGGCGCUGGGCCCACUCCAGUGGGGACCACCGGAUACACUCUCGAUCCGGGGCCCACUCCGGUGGAGACCUCCACCGGAUACGCUCUCGAUCCGGACUAAUAUCAUGAUGAUGAUGGUGAUGUAGAAGAAGAUGAAGGUUCCAAAUUAAGAACUUGUUUCAUAGCCAAACUACAUGACUAAUAUGAUGAUGAUGAUGGUGAUGUAGAAGAAGAUGAAGGUUCCAAAUUAAGAACUUGUUUCAUAGCCAAACUACAUGUGAGGAGGUUACCUUCCUUGGUAUCUCGAAGCCGGCCAGUCAACUCAUGAGAAUCGCCCGAAUCAUUGGUGGGAUUCUAGCAUCAAGGUUGACCUCUAUCAACUACUGUACCAAGAAGCUUUAUCAACUCAUGGCCUGGAAUGAGUUGACGUAGCAGCAAGUUGUUAGAUACAUUGGAGACCUUCAUCGUUCUAGGAUAUGCUCAAUCUGCAUUCUUUAUGGGUUCAGAUUGUAUCUUUCAUGCGAAAGAAUUUGUGACAUUUAACCAUUGGAUCGUUCACUACGUGAUUUAUGCUGUGGAUGGAAGGAAGAAUUUGUUGUGCUUUAAAAACUAUGUAAAGUGCAAUCCAAUGGCCGACGUCACGAAAAAAUAUCAAUUAUUCUUUCGCAUGAAAGAUACAACACGAACCCAUAUUCUUUAUGAACUAUCAUCCUAAAUUUACCCAGACUGUAAAUAAGCGAUAAAGUUAGGAAGGCCAGAAGGCAAACUAGGG
rnacentral:lncRNA from 1 species